UUGCUCCAAUGUCAGGGGUCAUCUACUUUCCUCCCGCUUUGGAAAUGGAGUUUCUUGUUUCUCCCGACUGGAGCUCCGAUCUCAUCCACCGGAGAAGAAUUGCCAUCGUCGCACAGAUGGGAAUCUUUUCGGAUCGAGGAACUCAAAACACUAGUUUUCUUGUUUAGGUAACGAUUAUGCGGCAAUGCCUUUAGGAGUUAAAAGAAGGUUCCAGUAUAUUGCCUCCUGAAAAAAUAUGAGGAACAAGAUGCUAAGGUUGCUGUCGUUAAAAUAUCCCUGAGCAAGGUGAGUGAUGACAUUUGUUUGCAAUCCUUGUUCCUUGUGAAUUUGGCUGUUUUAUGGCCAGCACUAGGAAAACAGCAAUUGUUAAUGUGCUUGCAGAAGCUGCCAAGAGCAGAGGUAGAUAGGAGAUCUGGGUGGUUUUUCUC